rnacentral:rRNA from 1 species
AGCGAACGCUGGCGGCAGGCCUAACACAUGCAAGUCGAACGAACCUUUCGGGGUUAGUGGCGGACGGAUGAGUAACACGUGGGAACGUGCCUUUAGGUUCGGAAUAACUCAGGGAAACUUGUGCUAAUACCGAAUGUGCCCUUCGGGGGAAAGAUUAAUCGCCUUUAGAGCGGCCCGCGUCUGAUUAGCUAGUUGGUUGAGGUAAUGGCUCACCAAGGCGACGAUCAGUAGCUGGUCUGAGAGGAUGAUCAGCCACAUUGGGACUGAGACACGGCCCAAACUCCUACGGGAGGCAGCAGUGGGGAAUCUUGCGCAAUGGGCGAAAGCCUGACGCAGCCAUGCCGCGUGAAUGAUGAAGGUCUUAGGAUUGUAAAAUUCUUUCACCGGGGACGAUAAUGACGGUACCCGGAGAAGAAGCCCCGGCUAACUUCGUG